AGUGAACGCUGGCGGUAGGCCUAACACAUGCAAGUCGAACGGCAGCACAGUAAGAGCUUGCUCUUACGGGUGGCGAGUGGCGGACGGGUGAGGAAUACAUCGGAAUCUACUUUUUCGUGGGGGAUAACGUAGGGAAACUUACGCUAAUACCGCAUACGACCUACGGGUGAAAGCAGGGGAUCUUCGGACCUUGCGCGAUUGAAUGAGCCGAUGUCGGAUUAGCUAGUUGGCGGGGUAAAGGCCCACCAAGGCGACGAUCCGUAGCUGGUCUGCGAGGAUGAUCAGCCACACUGGAACUGAGACACGGUCCAGACUCCUACGGGAGGCAGCAGUGGGGAAUAUUGGACAAUGGGCGCAAGCCUGAUCCAGCCAUACCGCGUGGGGGAAGAAGGCCUUCGGGUUGUAAAGCCCUUUUGUUGGGAAAGAAAAGCAGCAGGUUAAUACCCCGCUGUUCUGACGGUACCCAAAGAAUAAGCACCGGCUAACUUCGUG
rnacentral:rRNA from 1 species